UGGGGAAUAUUGCACAAUGGGCGCAAGCCUGAUGCAGCCAUGCCGCGUGUAUGAAGAAGGCCUUCGGGUUGUAAAGUACUUUCAGUCGGGAGGAAGGUGGUAAGGUUAAUAACCUUAUCAAUUGACGUUACCGACAGAAGAAGCACCGGCUAACUCCGUGCCAGCAGCCGCGGUAAUACGGAGGGUGCAAGCGUUAAUCGGAAUUACUGGGCGUAAAGCGCACGCAGGCGGUUGAUUGAGUCAGAUGUGAAAUCCCCGGGCUCAACCUGGGAACUGCAUCUGAUACUGGCAAGCUUGAGUCUCGUAGAGGGGGGUAGAAUUCCAGGUGUAGCGGUGAAAUGCGUAGAGAUCUGGAGGAAUACCGGUGGCGAAGGCGGCCCCCUGGACGAAGACUGACGCUCAGGUGCGAAAGCGUGGGGAGCAAACUGG
rnacentral:rRNA from 1 species